GUGAUGGACUCGGAUAUGUUUACCCGUCUUGUAAACCAGUCCGACAUGUGUGCACACACGUUCUCCCAAACCAGCCGCUUUGCUCGUCGGUGCUGGUGCUCCACGUGUACACGUCACCAGUUUUCUCUUCGCUCGCAGGUCGUGUCCAUCUCCCCCGGUUUCUCCCCUCCCCGCUGACACAAGACCACACACCCGUAAAAAAACACACACACCACCACGGCUAUGCUUCUUCCCCUGACGGACACAAGGUGGGUCCGAAGAGGAGAUUUCUCGAUCCCGUACGGAGUGCGCAGGCGACGGAGGGAGAAGGCAAGGACGGUCGCUUUAGGGCCGUCAUCGUGCGGCGGUGCUUGGGCUGUUGGCAGCGGCGGCAUAGGAGACGGGGGAGGCGCUAAUGUCCGUCAAGGCAUGCUUCGGCAACAUCGCCAACGCGCUCGUUGACUGGGACGGUGGCAGCGACCAUUGCCCCUGGCGGGGGUCGUCGCCUGCGACACAAACUCCUUCGCCUGGAGGAAGCUCAAAGGAAGCAAGACUUCAACAAAAAUCUCUGAAUGCAUUCCAAGCUUCUGUACGGCGUACGUCGUUUCAAAGGGAAAACUGUCAUUCGUGCACUCUUACACCUGAUGCCUGUGAAACACCCAAGACCAUAUCUUCUUCAACCAUUUCUUCUCCUAGCUCUGGAAGCCUUUCUAGUGCGCCCUCAGCAGAGUGGGCUGACAGAAAUGGAACAUCAACUGUAUUAUUCCGCAAGUCAUCUCUGCCAUCGCAAUGUGAUCACACACUCGUAAAUAUAAAUAGGUCAAUCCUGAAGCUAGCCCUUUAGGCAGUGCUGGCAGCGAGAUCUCUUACCAUGAUGAUACAACCCUGAAGACAAAUUCACAAUCAAUCACAUCAGUAGCGCAGCUCAGUAGCAGCAGCAGUGGGGAUUCAGUUUACAGGAGCUUCCGGGGAGAUAGCUUCCGAGAUAUCUCUGAUCUGCAGGCAGCAGUUUCAGAAACUGCAAGAGACCUUAGGCAUUCUCAUGCCCAGGAUGAUCUGAAGCUUCAAAUUGAGAGUAUGAAGGUCAAACUGCGACAUGUAUUCUACAGUUGUGGCUAUGGACAACUUUUGGCCAGUCCGGUGUAUUCUACAAUUGAGGCAAUGGAGCACUUUUGACCAGUCUAGUGUAUUCUACAGUUGUGGCACUGGAGUAGUCAUUAUCCACAAAACCAGGUAUGUUGUUGU